rnacentral:rRNA from 1 species
UACGAAGGGUGCAAGCGUUACUCGGAAUUACUGGGCGUAAAGCGUGCGUAGGUGGUUUGUUAAGUCUGCUGUGAAAGCCCCGGGCUCAACCUGGGAAUGGCAGUGGAUACUGGCAAGCUAGAGUGCGGUAGAGGGUAGUGGAAUUCCCAGUGUAGCGGUGAAAUGCGUAGAUAUUGGGAAGAACACCGGUGGCGAAGGCGGCCAUCUGGACCGGAACUGACGCUGAGGCGCGAAAGCCAGGGGAGCGAAUGGG